rnacentral:rRNA from 1 species
GAUGAACGCUGGCGGCGUGCCUAAUACAUGCAAGCCGAGCGAACAGACGAGGAGCUUGCUCCUCUGACGUUAGCGGCGGACGGGUGAGUAACACGUGGAUAACCUACCUAUAAGACUGGGAUGACUUCGGGAAACCGGAGCUAAUACCGGAUAAUAUAUUGAACCGCAUGGUUCAAUAGUGAAAGACGGUUUUGCUGUCACUUAUAGAUGGAUCCGCGCCGCAUUAGCUAGUUGGUAAGGUAACGGCUUACCAAGGCAACGAUGCGUAGCCGACCUGAGAGGGUGAUCGGCCACACUGGAACUGAGACACGGUCCAGACUCCUACGGGAGGCAGCAGUAGGGAAUCUUCCGCAAUGGGCGAAAGCCUGACGGAGCAACGCCGCGUGAGUGAUGAAGGUCUUCGGAUCGUAAAACUCUGUUAUUAGGGAAGAACAAAUGUGUAAGUAACUAUGCACGUCUUGACGGUACCUAAUCAGAAAGCCACGGCUAACUACGUG